rnacentral:rRNA from 1 species
CCUACGGGAGGCAGCAGUGGGGAAUUUUGGACAAUGGGGGCAACCCUGAUCCAGCCAUGCCGCGUGAGUGAAGAAGGCCUUCGGGUUGUAAAGCUCUUUCGGCCGGGAAGAAAUCGCACAGGUUAAUACCCUGUGUGGAUGACGGUACCGGAAUAAGAAGCACCGGCUAACUACGUGCCAGCAGCCGCGGUAAUACGUAGGGUGCGAGCGUUAAUCGGAAUUACUGGGCGUAAAGCGUGCGCAGGCGGUUUUUUAAGAUAGGCGUGAAAUCCCCG